rnacentral:rRNA from 1 species
CCUACGGGAGGCUGCAGUGGGGGAUAUUGCACAAUGGGCGAAACCCUGAUGCAGCGACGCCGCGUGAGUGAUGACGUCCUUCCGUAUGUAAAGCUCUAUCUGUAGGGAAGUAAAUCACCUUACGUGACCAUCAUUCCCUGUCUAAUUUCGUUCCAGCCGCCGCGGUAACAUGCCGGGGGCAGGCGUUAUCCGGAUUUACUGGGUGUAAAGGGAGCGUAGUCGGUUUUGUAUGUGUGUCGUGAACAUCCCGGGCUCAACCCGGGGAUUGCUGUGGAAACUGUGGCGCUGGAGUACGGGGAGGGCAGGCGGAAUUCCUGGUGUAGCGGUGAAAUGCGUAGAUAUCAGGAAGAACCCCGACGGCGAAGGCAGCCUGCUGGACUGGAACUGACGUUGAGGCUCGAAAGCGUGGGGAGCGAACAGGAUUAGAUACCCCGGUAGUC